rnacentral:tRNA from 1 species
AAAGCCUUAGCUUAAUAAAAGUGUUUGAUUUGCAAUCAAGGGAUGUGAGUUAAUGUCUUGCAGGUUUUA